GACGAACGCUGGCGGCGUGCUUAACACAUGCAAGUCGAGCGGUAAGGCCCUUCGGGGUAUACGAGCGGCGAACGGGUGAGGAACACGUGGGUGACCUGCCCCCCACUCUGGGAUAAGCACGGGAACCCGGACCUAAUACUGGAUAUGACCCCCGCAUGCAUGUGCGGAGGUGGAAAGCUCUGGCGGUGGGGGAUGGGGCCGCGGACUAUCAUCUGGUUGGUGCGGUGAUGGCCUACGCAGGCGACGAGGGAUAGCCCGCCUGAGAUGGUGAACGGCCAAGCUGGGACUGAGACACGGCCCGGACUCGUGCGGCGGGCAGCAGUGGGGAGUCUUGCGGAAGGGGCGGAUACUCGACGCUGCGACGCCGCGUGGGGGAGCACGGCCGUGGGGGUGUAAACGUCUUUCGCGUUCGACGGAGCUCGUACUUCUGGUGCGAGUGACGGUAGGUGGAGAAGAAGCACCGGCCAACUACGUG
rnacentral:rRNA from 1 species